rnacentral:lncRNA from 1 species
UUUUUACAAUGUUAUUUUUCUAUUUUUUUCUACUAUUCUUGUUGCCAUUGCGUGUUUGUUGUUCUUGCUUUUUCGUAUUUGCAGGUGUCUUUGGAGUCAACAAAUGGGAGAGAAGAUGCACCCUUUGCCGUUUUGGUGCAAGGCGGUAGACGCGCAUUAGGCCUCGAGACAAGUAGCGUGCUAAUGUGGCCUGAUGAACGGCGCCAAGGGGUCUAGGGUUUUUGUUUUACUGAAAAUGUUUAAGUGUUUUGGG